GUGGGUUGCCAGCAGAAAGCUUCUGACAGUGAGAUGUCUCUCGCUCUGCAGUCAGUUUUGAGGCAGUCUAGCCAUUUCUUUGAUGUCUUCCUCGUGAUUGUGUCCCAUGGCAUGCAUGGGUUCUCCCCUCAUAUGCAAUUCCUGGAUGUCCUUCCCCAUUCUUGAGAUUGUCUUUCUCUUAUUAUAUCAGUUAUAGUUUUGUGCUGGCCAAGUGUGACUGACAGUUUGGUUCAGGAUUUCGUCGAGUCUUGAGACCCCCAUGAUUUUAGUUUUAAACUAAAUAUUUUACGUAGCCUCGCAAGUAUUUUUAGCUACCCAAACUAAUCUAUGUUGCAUUAUUGUCUCAUUCUUUAACAGGACAGGACCGGAGUAACUUUUUCCCUCUUGAAAUUCAUUGAAAGCCUGUUAUCAGAACCACAAGAAGAGGAACACGUGUUGCAGGGAGGUUGCGAGUGAUGGCCAGCAUUCUACAUCAGUUGUCCUGGUCAUCCAUGGCAUUUCCAAUAUCUGGGGACCUAUAGGAUGGGCACUAGGAUCAACUAUGCUUAUGGUAGAGUACUUACUCCCAUCCCGUCUGGCAUCUGCCUGGAAGGGACGCCAGGGCAAGUGCCAGUUGAGGGGGUCGGUAGCCAGAGAGGGGAGCUGAUGUUUGAUUAAAUAAAAGUGGCGUUGGUGGUCCUGGUAGCUGACUGCCUAGCUAUAUCGAUUUUCCUGCUCUUACCAAGGAGACAUUGCUCUUGAUGCUGGAAUGCCCUGAAACUGCACCACUUUGUGAUGACAUCAACAUCAGAGAAACUACAUCCAAUGUGUCUUUAGUCUACUGAGAAUGCACUACAUGAAGUCUAUGAAGGGAUGAAAAUUAUAUGGGCAGUUCUAUGCUGUUAAAACCGAAAAUAAAUUUAGGAUCUGUUGAAGUUUAUUUGCUGAAGUGACACAACAUAAAUUGGCGUUUUAAAACUUGAUGACUUAUAGUAAGGAUUUUGAAUUAGUCUUUUGGUAUCUAUUCGGUUCUUUUUUUCUCUCAGUUAUGUUACUUGAGGGCGGCUUUGUGAACAUGGCUUUUAUAUUUUUACGCAUGAAGCUCUCUAACUAAUGUCGGUCAUCAUGGAAUUGCCCGUAUACUUCGUAGAACUGUAGAUUUUCUGGUUGCCAAAUUAGUUACUGGGCCCUAUUGUAUUUCUGUUUGUUUAUGUAUUUAUUAUUUGGUAAUGAAUGCUAAGUGAUGUGGGUUGUGAUUGUGCAUUUUAAUGAAUAUCCAUAAGUACCUAAGACAGUUUACCCAUUCCCAUUGGUCGAGAGCCCGUCACGUGGCUGUCCUUGAACGGAUGGUUAAGACAUGGCUAGCUGGUCUUA